rnacentral:rRNA from 1 species
GAUGAACGCUGGCGGCGUGCCUAAUACAUGCAAGUCGAGCGAAAAGAUGAUGAGCUUUCUCCUCUGACGUUAGCGGCUGACGGGUGAGUAACACGUGGAUCACCUACUUCUAAUACUGGGAUAACUUCGUGAAACCGGAUCUAAUACCGGAUAAUAUAUUGAACCGCAUGGUUCAGUAGUUAUAGACGCUUUUGCUGUCACUUAUAGAUGGAUCCGCGCUGCAUUAGCUAGUUGGUAAGGUAACGGCUUACCAAGGCUACGAUGCGUAGCCGACCUGAGAGGGUGAUCGGCCACACUGGAACUGAGACACGGUCCAGACUCCUACGGGAGGCAGCAGUGGGGAAUAUUCGGCGAUGGGCGAAAGCCUGACGGAGCAACGCCGCGUGAGUGAUGAAGGUCUUCGGAUCGUAAAACUCUGUUAUUAGGGAAGAAAAAAAGUAUAAGUAACUAUGCACGUUUUGACGGUACCUAAUCAAAAAGCCACGGCUAACUACGUG